rnacentral:rRNA from 1 species
GGUGAACGCUGGCGGCGUGCUUAAGACAUGCAAGUCGAACGCAGUCUUCGGACUUAGUGGCGCACGGGUGAGUAACACGUAACUGACCUACCCCCAAGUCGCGAAUAACCAGCCGAAAGGAUGGCUAAUACGUGAUGUGAUGAUCCGCUGUGGCGGAUCAUUAAAGACUUGAUCGCUUGGGGAUGGGGUUGCGUUCCAUCAGCUAGUUGGUAGGUAAAGGCUUACCAAGGCAACGACGGAUAGCCGGCCUGAGAGGGUGGCCGGCCACAGGGGCACUGAGACACGGGUCCCACUCCUACGGGAGGCAGCAGUUAGGAAUCUUCCACAAUGGGCGCAAGCCUGAUGGAGCGACGCCGCGUGAGGGAUGAAGGUUCUCGGGUCGUAAACCUCUGAACCAACGACGAAAGACCCGACAAGGGAGAUGACGGUAGUUGGGUAAUAGCACCGGCUAACUCCGUGCCAGCCGCCGCAGUAAAAC